rfam:Schistosoma haematobium scaffold421_9, whole genome shotgun sequence.
AUCUAGCUGAAGAGUCCCGAAUAGGACGAAACGCGAGUCAAACUGGAU